rnacentral:rRNA from 1 species
GUGGGGAAUAUUGCACAAUGGGCGCAGGCCUGAUGCAGCGACGCCGCGUGAGGGAUGACGGCCUUCGGGUUGUAAACCUCUUUCAACGCCGACGAAGCGUAAGUGACGGUAGGCGUAGAAGAAGCACCGGCCAACUACGUGCCAGCAGCCGCGGUAAUACGUAGGGUGCGAGCGUUGUCCGGAAUUACUGGGCGUAAAGAGCUCGUAGGUGGUUUGUCGCGCUGUUCGUGAAAACUCACAACUCAAUUGUGGGCGUGCGGGCGAUACGGGCAGACUGGAGUACUGCAGGGGAGACUGGAAUUCCUGGUGUAGCGGUGGAAUGCGCAGAUAUCAGGAGGAACACCGGUGGCGAAGGCGGGUCUCUGGGCAGUAACUGACGCUGAGGAGCGAAAGCGUGGGGAGCGAACAGGAUUAGAUACCCUGGUAGUCCACGCCGUAAACGGUGGGUACUAGGUGUGGGUUUCCUUCCUUGGGAUCCGUGCCGUAGCUAACGCAUUAAGUACCCCGCCUGGGGAGUACGGCCGCAAGGC